rnacentral:misc_RNA from 1 species
GAUGAAGAACGUAGCGAAAUGCGAUAAGUAAUGUGAAUUGCAGAAUUCAGUGAAUCAUCGAAUCUUUGAACGCACAUUGCGCCCGCCAGUAUUCUGGCGGGCAUGUCUGUUCGAGCGUCAUUACAACCCUCAGGCCCCCGGGCCUGGCGUUGGGGAUCGGCGGAAGCCCCCUGCGGGCACAACGCCGUCCCCCAAAUACAGUGGCGGUCCCGCCGCAGCUUCCAUUGCGUAGUAGCUAACACCUCGCAACUGGAGAGCGGCGCGGCCACGCCGUAAAACACCCAACUUCUGAAUGUUGACCUCGAAUCAGGUAGGAAUACCCGCUGAACUUAAGCAUAUCAAUAAGCGGAGGA